rnacentral:tRNA from 1 species
GAGGGUAGAGCUCAGUGGUAGAGCACGUGCUUAGCAUGCACAAGGUCCUGGGUUCAAUCCCCGGUACCGCCA